ensembl:lncRNA
GGUUAAUUUACGCUGCCUAAUACACAUGUAAACCCCAGUAAGCCAAAGCUGCCGAAGGAGCCCCGGUUAUCGCAUAAACUAAGAACCACGACCCCUGGGUUCGAGUUGCCCUGCCCUGCCCAGGCCAGUGAUUCCUUUCUCCACCUGAGAAACGAGGAAACGAGGACUCUCUUCUGCCUUGCCCCAGCUUGAGUGCGGGAAAAACUUUUCUUGUCUGUUCCGGCCACCAGUCUACUUUCAGACACAGGCUCCCCGAAGCCGUCUGUCCCCCGAAGUCCUUCCCUGGGUCUCCUGCGGAAAGCAAGCUGAGGGGUGGGGGCUGCAGGUCAGCAGGAAAACGUCGCCUUAUUAUUGUUAUUAUUACUAGGAUUGCCUAAGAGCAGUGGUCUGCUUUGGGGGAGGGGGUUCUGUUUCCACACGCGGAAAACUUGCUGUAUCUGGAGAUCUGUCGCCUUCUCUCGUCCCGAGGGUGAGGGUUUCCCCCUCCCCCAAAGGAAACCUCCACCCAAAGCAGCCAAAAUAGAAUUCGAAGCGAUCCGCCUCGGGCCUGCUGUUCGCAAAGCCCCCAGCGUCGUCCUCUGGGGGGGCAUCUGGGGGCCCUGCGCCUCGCUGAGCGAGGACACCCCCUCAGAGUCGCACACUCGGGCUGGGCCGCGCUGCCCCAGGAAGGGCUCCACCGCCCGGGGUUUUGGCCUGGCUGAACCGCCUCAGGGACUACAGAGCACGUGCUGGAGGCAAUUAAUUAUCGGAAUGUGGCCAUAUCAAAACGGACACCGGGCACCGGGUAGGUCAGCAGCCGCAACAUCCCCCCUGCCCUGCGCUCAGGACCCCUCCCCCAGAAGGAGCCGACCCGGCUCCCUCGGCGGCCUUCCUCCCUCGGCCCCUCGCCCCGCUGCCCGCCCCGACUCCCAAACGCGCCGGGCCCCAGGUUCUCAGGGGGUACCUGGCCGGUCUCUCCGCAAACCCUCGCCCCAGCGCCGGCCGUGCUGGGGCCCGACAGCCACCCCCCACCCCAACCCCCGAGCCUAGAGAACCGCUCUCCUCUGCACUGGCGACGGGAGGAAAUCCAAACUUUUUCUACGCCACUCCGCGCCCAGGGUCCGUGGGGGUCGGUGGGAGGUGAAGAGAGGUAGAGGGAAGGAAGGAUAUCAAGGGCAAAGGGAAAAGAAAGGGGAAAAGAAAGGAGAGCAAUCCUCCCUUUCGGUAAACCUGACUCCGGGGAAUUCAUUUGCAUGAUUUAGGCAUAUUUGUUCUUCUCUGAGCCCCCUCCCCCCUGCAAAGAAACCUUCUGCUGAGCGACACUGAACCCGUUCUUGGAGAGCCUAUUUUCAGUAGAUGUAAUAAUUUAAGUCAGUGGUGGACUCAUCUCCCAACCUGGGGAGAGAGCUGUGGAUGGAGAGGGAGAUUGGGGUGAGUUUGGGGGGGAGGGGGUGACUACGGUAAGUGUGCUACGGGCAGGGCUACCUCCCCCUCCCCCCCAGCAAAAUGGCAAAGAAAGAAGGUGAAGUCUUGGCCAGGCCUGGCAGAUUGGGGGGCAGGAAGUAAAGGGCUGCCGUUAUAAAGCGCUGCUUGAGGCUGUCUCUCCCAGCGCCUCUGAACUUGAUCAGAUGUUCUGUUUCCUACAGAGAGAUGGCGGCCAGGCUGUGAGGCUGCCUCAAGGCUCAGACUUUGGGGACUCGGCCCGUUGGAGAUGUGACAAUCCCAGCCGUGUUUCUGUGGGCCUUUUCUUUCCACUCCCACUCGCCUGCAUUCUUUGCAAACGCACUGCCGGACAAAAAAAAAAUAAAAUAAAAUGAGUGGAUUUAUAGCCCUGUCUG